UUUAUCAAAUUUAUAAAGCUGAAAAUGAAAUCUAGAUCAUCUUGUUUUUUGAAAAACUUCACCAUUUUUGUCGAAAGCUAUUGCAUCGAGAAGAUAUGUAUCCAAUAACUUGCUUCUUGCCAGAGAAAUGAAAACAUUUUCUACCCAAGCUUUUUCCAAAACACCACCUACAACGGUAUAAACUGUAAAACUAUAAUUUCGAGAAUUUACUGCUCCCCGAGUCGCUUUUGCUUCAAAUCCCUACUUCGAUGCGAAAAUCUUGCUCACUAUUCUGAAUUUUUAAAAAUUUUUUAGAGAGAGAGAGAGAGAGCAUGUCGAGGAUAUGGGCAAGGUUGGCGGGGAUGUUGAGCAACAGGAGAAUGGUAGGGGUAGACAAAGCAGGGAAUCGAUACUUCACCAGAACGGAGGAGAUCGAUGGUAUCAUGAAACAGAAAAGAUGGGUGGUAUUUAAAGGCGAACAUGAACCAACUUCCGUCCCAGUUGAGUGGAUAUGCUGGUUGAAUGGACAACGUAAAAAUGCUCCAACUCCUGAGGAAAUGGCGGAGCUAGAGGCUAGAAGGGAGCUUGUUAGACUUAAUGUUGCCCGUCUAAAGGCGGAAGAGGAAAGGCUAGCUAAAGAAGGCAAGAUCAAAGUGACAAGUGUUGGUAAACUUGCUGCUCCAGACUUGAAAAGUUUUGUUAGACAAUUCCCAGAUGCCACGGAAGAAGGUGAUACAGCUGCAGAAGCAUCUAAUGCAGAGGAUGAAAGCAGGUCAUCGGAGCCAUCUGGAUCUGGAGAAUCCUUUAGACCAGGAACAUGGCAACCUCCUAUUUGACGUUGUGAAACACAAAGAUUCCAACAAUGGGUUUGAUCUACUAACCGCCAAAAUGUCACAAUGGAUUGUGUUAUAUUUUAUAUGAAUUCAACCACAACAUAAUGUCUUUAGUAUGAGAAUCCAUUCCAAUUAAGUAAGGUGCAAUGUUAGGAUUAUUGAGCGAUAUAUCCUCUCUUCAAUAACUUUUACAAUUUUCUCAAUCAACUUUGUAUGAUGCCAA